AGGCUUAUAAGUUAAUUAAAACUGAGGGGUUCAUGUCCCCUCAUUAUGCUUUGGCAUUCGGCCGA
rnacentral:tRNA from 1 species